UGAGUGAGGAGCCUAAUAUGGGGCUUGAUCUCAUGACCCUAAGAUCAUGACCUGAGCAGAAACCAAGAGUCAGAUGUGUAACCGACUGAGCCACCCAGGCGCCCCUCGAUUUUAGUCUUGUGAGACUUGCUUUGGACUUCUGACCUCCAGAACUGUCAAACAAUAACAUUUGUGUUGUUGGAGGCUGCUAAGUUUAUGGUGAUUUGUUAUAGCAGCAGUAGGAAGCUAACACAGUGUGUGUUUGUUACCUGUCUGCUGCCACUGGAAAUGAACUCCAUGAGGCCAGGACCUUCUUUAUUGUCUUCAUAUAUUCUUUUUUAAAAAAAGAUUUUAUUUAUUUAUUUUAGGGGGGGGCACAUGCUAGCAGGGAGAGGGGUAGAGGAAGAGAGAAAAAUCUUAAGCCGACUCCAUGCUGAGCAUGGAAUCUGAUGCGGGACUCAAUCUCACAACCCCAAGAUCAUUAGCUGAGUUGAAAUCAAGAGUCAGACGCUUGACCAACGGAGCCACUGGGCGCCCCUUCACCUUGUGUUCUUGGUGUCUGGUGCAAGAAUGAACCUCCAUAAGUGUUUGUGGAAUGAACAAAGACACAGAGGCAGUGCAGGAAGAGGAGCCAAUGGGGUGGGGUUGAGGGGGGAAGACCCUGAGCUGGGCAAGGUCAUGGUGUGCUCUGCAGUGGUGGAUGAGCUGAAGUGGAGAAGGGGGGUGCUUGGAGACCUUGGAAGAGCUAAUUCUGUAGCAUUUACUCUGCAGGGGAAGAACUGGUGAUGGGUUUUAUAUAGAAUGAGAGCACAAUCCUAUUUGCUUAUUGCUUUUUAAGUAAUUUUUGAAGUGAUUUUCCUUGUUUAUCGUUAAUAAUUGGAAAUGUAUAGAGACAUGGACAAAAAAAUAAAAAUCACUCAAUCUCAUUUCCUAGAGAUAGCCAUUGUUAACUCUUUUGGUGGGUAUGUGUAUGUGUGUUUCUGUCUUCAAAACUGAGAUUAUACUUUAUACACUAUUUUGGAACUGGCUUUUUUCCUUUAAUGUGAAUUUCUCUGUGUCACUAUUCUUCUAAAAAUAUGGUAUUUAAUGACCACAUAGUAUUUUAUCAUACAGCCAUAACUAAAUUUAUUUAACAGCUUUCCCCUAACCGGACAAUUCUUUUAUUUCCCCAAUAUUUUAUUAUUAAAAGUAGCAAUAGUAGUGCCUGGCAUAUAGUGAGCAUUCGACAUUUUGGUUGAAUAGAUGGGUGAAUGAAUGGUUCUGAGAACACUGUCAUGCAUAAACCUACAGAUCGCUGAUCGUUUCUUUAGGAAAAAGAUUCUUGCAAGUGAAAGUGUUGGAUCAGAGGUUGUAUUUUUUUUUUUUAAUGGCUCUCAAUACAUAUGGCCAAAUUACCUUUCAAAAAGGUUAUAAAAAUUACAACCCCACUAGUAAUAUGUGAAUGCAUAACUUCACUGUGUUGAUGGGGGUAUUGUAAUUUUUUAAACCCUUGCUUGCAUGUUAGAAAAGUUUCCACAGGGACAGGAAGGUAGUAGUUAGGGGGUCUUGUGAAGUUCAGGCAGAUAAUGGUAAGAACCUCAACAUCCGCCAUGGAGGUCUAUCAGCAAGGAGACAGAUCUGAGCUCUCAGUAGGACACAGAAUCAAUAGGACUUGAGUGCAGAAGGUUGAAAGGAUGUUGGAAUGAGCCUCGGGUUUCUGCCUCAGGUACAGUAUUGGUUGAGAUUCUUUGUUGCCAGUGACAAGAAACAGCUCUGAUUUAGUUAACAAGGCUUAUUGUAAGGCUGCAGAGCAAACCACAGAGUCAGAGCUGAGGUUCCAGGCUCCCAAAACCCCGGGAUCCCAGCACCAUUCAGGAAUCCAAGAGGAAGAAAAGAAUGGACGACCCCUCCUUGGGACAGCACCCUCAGGGAGGGUCAGUUUUUGUGUUACAUUGCCGAAGAUUCCAAUUCCAUGGAGAAGGGUUAAUCUGGUCUACUUUGGGUCAAUGAUCCGUCCAGUGGCCAGAGGCAGGGGGACCCCUUCUUGGACAGUCCUACCAGGAGACAGAGGGGUCUACAGUGCUACCAGCAGAAGGCAUUUGAAUGAAUGCAGGCAUGUAAAAACUCAUGCUGACCUCUCCGUAUGGGUGUGCAUUCAUGGCAGCUGGCCAGAGCUAACCACAACUCUGCUUCCAACGGUUAGCAAUUCCUGCUCAUGUUUCAGUCUCUCAUUGAACACAGGCAUAGCUCCCCUCCAUGACGAUGAGAGGGGCAGAGAGAGAGAAAUCCCCCUUCUUGACCUCGUUGAGAUCCUGGCUCCAAUCUUUCGCCCUGUGCCCUCCGGCUGCCAGCUAGCAGCCUUUCCUGAACCCCAGUGUGGCAGUCUGUCAGCUGACCGCCAGUAUUUCAUGCUUCCUCUGUCACACCACAAGGCUGUUUCUGAGAAGUGAGGAGAUAUUUGGUAACAAGAUACAAGGAGCCUGGGACACUGAAUGACCGACCGCACGGGGAAGCUGGCUGCCGACCAGCAGCAUCCGCAUUAAACUGUUCAUGUGAGUGAGAAGUAAAUGUUGAGAAUGUCAUAACAUUGAAAUGUUGGAUUUUAUUGUUACUACUGCUAAUUAAUAACCUCAUAAACACCUCUGGAUACUUGUUUAACAAAGGGCUGAGAAGAAUUAAAUGAGCAAUGGGUGAAAGAGGAGAAUGAUUCUUAAAAACAUGGGAAAUAAUCCAGCAGUUCUACUUCUGGGUGAGUUGUGUGGUAUGCUGCUCUAGCUCUCUAAAGCUCCCACUCUUGUAAAAAGAGAGGGAAACCUAGAGAAUCACCGCUCAAGGAGGCUGCGAUGAGAAGAAACAACUCACCUGACAGCUCGUCUCCUGCCCAGCAGCCCAAGUCUCUCCCAGGACAAAAGAGAGUCCAGCGCCAGUGUCCAGAGGACAGCGGAGCCACCUUGAAGCUCCCUGUGGGAGACAGCACCGCAGACAAACCUCGGGGACUCCUGGGUCUCAGAAGCAGGAUGAGAUCGCCGGUGCCACCCCAGUACUGACGGAGGGAUCACCGGGGAGUAAUCCGCGGGCUGCAAAGACACAGCGGAGGUCAGCCUGGGUGACAGGGCUUCACGCCGCUCUUGGCUCUCUGAAUUUUAAGAGCAAUAAAGUGAAGCCACAGCAAAUCAAAAGCAGAAAUGAGCAAAGGUUACAAAGGAGUUGGAAGUUGUUUCCCUUGUCAAAGAGGCCUAGAAGAACAGGGCCCCGUUCUCCUGCUCUGGAGAAGCUCUGACAAGAACGGAGACCCUUCAGCUCCGCAGAGGACCCAGGAGGCUGUGGCGAGCUCCUGCUUGAGCAGGUACGUCAGGGGAGGACCGUGGAAGAUUGCUAACAUUUUAAUUAAUGACUGGACUUGGCACAACAAGUGGAAGUUGGGGCUGCAGGCCACCCAGGGGCAGCACCAUGUCUGGCUUAUGUAUUUCCAAGUCCACGGAUUAUCAGAGGUUCCCUUGAGAUACCCUCUGUUUUCGUUACCAGCACUUGGCACUAACAUCCUAUCCCUGGCCACCUGGGGGGACAGCAAGCCUCUCCUCCAUAGGUGAGGUUUGCUUGCAGGUUGGGGAAGCUCAGUCAGCACCCCUCCUGUCCCCUCUCCGCCCUGGACUCCCUCCACCGGGGCCCAGGCCGGUGGGGAAAUUUGGGAAGCGUGGACCGGGAACCCAUUCAACCCAGCUUUGUCCUUCUUGCUCUUGGGAGCACCACCUGCAGGGGGCUGGUGCUCUCCGUCAUGCUCCAAGGGGCCAGCUCUUCCCCUCGCCGGGGGCAUGGGAGGGCUGAUCAGUCGUGGGGGUCAGGAUUAGGAAGCCCUCCGGCUCUAAUCCCUAGCCCAUCCACACUGAGAAGGAUAGGUUAGCCUCCAAGGCCCUCCCCACUGUUUCCUAUCAGAUGACUCAGAAGUCGGGCAAGAGAGAGGAACGGUGUCUGAGGCCCCCCAGGACCGCAGCAGCCUGGCUGCCGCAGCACCACAGCCGUCUCUCCACUUUUGCGCCCCCAAAUCCGUUCUCACUGCUUGCGGGAGCUUUCCAUGAUACACCUCAGAUAAUGCUCCUCCUUACCUGAAAUCCUGCCCUGCACCUCCUCUGCGGGACCCCAGGACCUGGCCUUGCUUUCCUGCCCAGACCCAGGUCCCUCUCCGCCUUGCCCUCGCCGCUCCCGCCAUGUGAAUCCCAAGCUUGAUAGGGAUGCAGCAGUAGUGUUCCCACUGUCUGGAAUGUUCUUUGUGACAAGCUAGCCUCCCCAGAGAGCCUUGGGUCAUCUCCUGCUCUAACUAGUUCCUGCCCCCACCCUUGCACGCCCCCCUUUUGUUCUCUCGAGAGCCCGCAUCACUGAUGACAUCAUCACAUGGAUUCCCGGGCCUCCCCGUGUCACUGAGAUGGGGGGCCUUCCCAGUUGAGCAGGGAUCUGGUCCCCUCCAGCCCCUCUGCAGCCCCAGCGCCUGGCACACAGUAGUCACUCAAUAAAUGCCCGUGCGGUGAAGGAAGGGAAGCUGUAGGGGGGCUGCAGGAUUCUCGGUCCAGGCUGGCCCUACCCUGCUCACCGCUCACGAGUGGGCGUCCUCGUGCUUGGCGCUCACCCCGAUCCUUCACUUCACUUGGUCUCUAACCAAGGAGGCUUCACUCUCGGCCUUGGGAGAGUCUUGGAAAGGCCAGAGGUCCUCUGAGAGGAGCCUCCUGCUUCUUGGGAAAUGCGUGUUCCCGGCGGGCCUGGUGGCACCUUUCCCGGCCCUGCUUCUCCCCAAGUUGUAGGCCUAGGGUGGGGGGCCCCGCGUGCCUCAACUGGGCCCCGGUUCCAAGGGCCAAUAAGGUAACAAACGAAGC